rnacentral:rRNA from 1 species
UAAAACAUGCAAGUCGAACGCGAAAGGGGCUUCGGCCCCGAGUAGAGUGGCGAACGGGCGAGUAAUACUUUGCUAACGUACCCCAAGGUCGGGGAUAGCGGCGGGAAACGGCCGGUAAUACCCGACGACCCCCGCGGGCCGCAUGGCCUGCGGGGCAAAGGCUUGCUGCCUUGGGAUCGGGCAAAGCGCUAUCAGCUUGUUGGUGAGGUAACGGCUCACCAAGGCAAAGACGGCUAGCGGGUGUGAGAGCAUGACCCGCCGCAUCGGGACUGAGACACUGCCCGGACUCCUACGGGAGGCUGCAGUAACGAAUCUUCCGCAAUGCGCGAAAGCGUGACGGAGCAAUGCCGCGUGAAGGAUGAAGCCCCUCGGGGUGUAAACUUCUGUCAGGGUUUAGGAAUUCUGACCAAACCCAAAGGAAGGACCGGCUAACUUCGUGCCAGCAGCCGCGGUAAGACGAAGGGUCCAAGCGUUAAUCGGAAUCACUGGGCUUAAAGCGUGCGCAGGCGGGCCUGUAAGUACCUUGUGAAAUACCACCGCUCAACGGUGGAAUGGCAGGGUAUACUGCAGGCCUUGAG